UGGGCACAAGGGAGGCAACUGCGUACGGCUCAUUUAUUACUGAAAAAUUCCUGCGCGAAAUCUCGUUCAUAAAAAAAGUGCCGAUAGGGGGUCGGAAUUACGUCGUUUUUAAGGUGGUUUUCGAUUGGAUAUGGUUAAAAUAAUCACUAAUCAUAUAAGUUAAUACAUUUAUGUUCGCGGUCAAAGCACUUUCGUUUCCACACAGUUGCGUAGAAGAUUAAAAGAAAGCCUCAGAAAAUUUCCGAGAUCAAGAAAAAUAGGUAAGAUACAUUGCCCAGUAGAAAAAUUGCUUUUAUUUUGUAGGUUAAUCAUUCUCCUUUCCAUUCAUGCCACUAAUUGCUUUGCAAAAUGCCGUGAUUCUGCUGGUUGUUGCUAAUGUAUGGACUCACUAUUGACGGGUUUCAUGAAUGGCAAGAUGGCCGCCGUUGUUGACAAUUCAUACGACGUAAAUAUCAAUUGUUCUUUUUUUCCUCUGUAAAGUUGCCAUAAAAUGUGUUGUACGUGCUAAACAUCAUUGAAGGAUAUAUUUAUGCCGACAUUAUAUCGUAAUGACAUAUGUCUGAUACUAAUAAGUCAGAGUCUCAGGAUUGGGAAGAGUUUGACUCGGAGUCUGACAGUGAGCGUUCGGAGCCUGACAGUGAGCGUGUAUCACCGCAGCCAGGUCAAUUUACACAAGACCUGGCUGCAAUAGCUGAAAAGUUGAAGCUUCCGCAUCAGAUUACCGCAAGAAGCUGCCGUUUGUGAAUGCGGCCCCGAUGGAGGAGAUUGAGGCAAAGAAGCUGAAGGCAGCGGGAGGAAAAGAAAAGAAAUCAG